GGUGGGGUUCCCGAGCGUUCAUAAGGGAGCUGACUGCAAAUCUGCCGUCAUCGACUUCGAAGGUUCGAAUCCUUCCCCCACCACCA
rnacentral:tRNA from 2 species